ACGAACGCUGGCGGCAUGCCUAACACCUGCAAGUCGAACGAGACCUUCGGGUCUAGUGGCGCACGGGUGCGUAACGCGUGGGAACCUGCCCUUAGGUUCGGAAUAACUCCCCGAAAGGGGUGCUAAUACCGGAUAAUGUCUUCGGACCAAAGAUUUAUCGCCUUUGGAUGGGCCCGCGUUGGAUUAGCUAGUUGGUAGGGUAAAAGCCUACCAAGGCGACGAUCCAUAGCUGGUCUGAGAGGAUGAUCAGCCACACUGGGACUGAGACACGGCCCAGACUCCUACGGGAAGCAGCAGUGGGGAAUAUUGGACAAUGGGCGAAAGCCUGAUUCAGCAAUGCCGCGUGAGUGAUGAAGGCCUUAGGGUUGUAAAGCUCUUUUACCCGGGAUGAUAAUGACAGUACCGGGAGAAUAAGCUCCGGCUAACUCCGUG
rnacentral:rRNA from 1 species